CAGAGGCUUUAACCCAGGCAUCCCAACCUGUUCUCUUUAAGAAGAUUUUUUGGGUCACUGAUACAAACACUGAUUUGGAUCCUUAUUAAAGUGUUGGGUUUUCAGUCAUUUUCAUCAGUACUGGCUAUUCUGUAUUAAACUAGAUUUGUUUCAAUGACCAUGAUUUCUUUUUGGGUCAGUGGCUGUACAGCUGACGAUAACUUAGCCUGGCUAAUUAUAGAAGUCAUAAAUGAACAUCACUGUCCCUGGCAGUGACAGUAUCAAUUAUUUGGACAUAGGUAGAAGUUUCUAGUCAAAUGUGUUCAACCAUGGCCUGAGACCCAUAGUGUCCACCUGUGUCCUUUAGUUAGCACUUCCAUUGUGCUCUUGGGAAUAGACAUCAUGUUGACCAGCAACUAUUGAAGGGAGUUUGCUCUGUCUCCAUAGAUAAAGAAAGGAAUGGAAAUUUACUUUUGGAAAAACAAAUGAGAGAGGAGGUUGCAGGGUUAGGUGGAGAGAUGAUGAUCCAGUUACUACAGCUGUGUAACAUUAUACCCCAACCAUAGCUGCUUAAAACCACCGUAUGAUGCUCACAGAUUCUGUGAGUCAGGAGUUCGUAGACGGCAUCGUGGGGAUGACCUCGCUUUGCUCCAUGAUACCUCAGAUGGGAUGCCAACUCAGUGGCUGGGAGCUAGAAUCAUCUGAAGGCUCCUUGGCUUACAGCUGGUACCUGGGCUAGGCUGAUUCAAAGAUGAGCAUUGCCAACUGGAGCAGCAACACAUGUGGCUCUUUGUGGCUCAGCUGCCUCACAGCACAGUGGCCUCAGGGUAGUCAGACCUCCGUGGGCAAGCACACCAGUGAGCAAGAGGGAAGAUGCGUCACCUUUUCUGAUCUGACCUCGGAACACACCAUCUCUUCCAUCAUGUUCUAUUGGUUGAAGCAAUCGCAAGCCUGCCCUGAUUCAAAGAAGAGUUAGACUCUACCUUUUGAUGGGGCAGUGGCAAGGUCAAAUUAUAGAAUGCGUAAUACAGGAGAUACGACCGCAAAUGUCUUUGGAAGUUACAAUCUGCCACGUUUGGUAAUUAGAGGAUGAUCUUUUCCAUUUCAUUGGCCUCUUUAAAAACUUUAGAAUUUUCUCCCUCAGAGCUACAGCAUACCAAAAGAGGGGCUAGGUUUACAAUUUGAGGGGCUGGCUAGUAUCGUGUCCAAAGACAGUCUUCAAACUGGAGAAACGCUGUUCCCUUCCUUUCAGCAACCUUCUACUGGACCCUGUGAAACAAGUGGGAUGCCAUUAUGAGGAAGUUUCAUGUGGCCUUGAGAAAAAGUAAACAAAUGUUGGAGUCAGCUCCCCCCAGCCCCUGGACAGUCAGACCGACUCCUCACACGCCACCGCAGUAACUCCUUCCAGACCUCUGCGUGAGGACAAGUUUACAGCUGCCAGACAUCAAAAGGAAUAGCCCUUGUCUUAUCAUCUCCCUGCAUAAAUCAUGAUGUUGUGUGUAUGUUUCGGAUUGGUUGUUUAGUGAUAAGAUUUAUUAUAAGAUACGGCCUUUUUAAGAUUCUGACUUGUUUUGAAGGAAUGAAAUAUUUCAGAUUUGUUCCAUAAGCUGACUUUUAGUACGCUGACUUCAUUAGUUUUGGGAAGAACUGAAGACGGCCUGUAGUUAUCAAAGCCUACCUGGACUGGAAAGAGUUUUCCUCUGCAGUUUCGAUGGAAAACUGCUUCUCUUCCUCUCAUUAAUGUUGUAUUUGCAGUGGAGUCGUGCUGACCUCUACCCCAGGCCCACUGAUACUGAGCUGACAACAAGAGGGUUGAGCCUGAAAUCGGAUGCUGACCUUGUGGAACAUUGGUGGAACAAAGAUGGCACACCAGUGUUUAUCCUUUUCUUCCGUAAGCUGUCACCAUGACCCUGACAAAAGGUUCCUUCACCUACUCCAGUGGCGAGGAAUAUCGCGGCGAGUGGAAGGAAGGCCGCAGACACGGUUUUGGUCAACUGAUGUUUGCAGAUGGUGGCACCUACCUGGGUCAUUUUGAGAAUGGGCUCUUUAAUGGCUUCGGGGUACUGACCUUCUCCGAUGGCUCAAGGUAUGAGGGGGAGUUCGCCCAGGGCAAGUUUAACGGCGUCGGAGUCUUCGUCCGACAUGACAACAUGACAUUUGAAGGGGAAUUUAAAAAUGGCAGAGUAGACGGUUUUGGCCUGCUGACCUUCCCUGAUGGUUCUCACGGCAUACCCCGCAACGAAGGUCUAUUUGAGAACAACAAGCUGCUGCGGCGGGAGAAGUGCUCCGCGGUCGUGCAGCGGGCCCAGAGCGCCUCCAAGUCAGCCAGAAAUCUCGCUGCCUAACGGGCGUCGUGCACCCGUGCCCGGGCUCGGGCCACAGCGCAGGCCCCCACGAUGCACUCGAGGUGAAUACGUGAACCGGAUGUGAGAGAAGAUGAGAAUGCCCACGGAGCGGAGGCCUGGAGACGAGCCCCCUCACCUGCCAGGCUGGUAUCUGUGUCUGCUUGUCCCCCUGUGAAGGUUUCGGUAAGAAUACGAUUUCCCUCUCCCUUGAUUGUACAAGCUGUCUUCCUUACCUGAGUUCCAGCAGCUAAUUUGUGCCCUAUUGUGCCUCUCUCCUUCCUUAGACAUGGGCAGGAUCCCUUUGGGGCACAGUCAAGAAACUGAUACGAGGAGUCAUCUCAUAAUGUGUAUUUGUUACUUACCCCGGGGCAGAGGAGACAUCUCUGGGCCACUUCAGGCCCUACCAUGGAGUAACUGAAUCCUUAGGGAUGGCUUGGGCUGACACAGCCCCUUCCCACUGGACCCAUAGGUCAGACCCACCUCAACCCCUUGGAGCUUGGGGAGAAUUGGACGGGUUCUAGGACUGCAGUGAACCAAAAGAGAAUUUGGCUCCUUGUGUUUGGUUCACAGUUAACUCUUCCAUCACGAGCUUGGCUGUCAGCCCUGGGGGUCAGAUCUGGAUGGAUGGGGCCCCUGCAUAGUUUAUGACGGAGGCCUCCAGUUACCCCAGGACCCAGACAUGCCCACUCCACUCCCAGCCCCUUACCCUAACAGCAGAUUGUGGUGGAAAUUAUAGCCCUGUGCCUCUAUUUAUUCUCCGAGUUGUACUGUAGAAACAAGUGUUUAUGAGGAAUAAACAAUCAGCAGAACUGCC